AUGGACUUGAAAAAAAAUUCAUUUUUGCAUCAGGUUUAUGAUUGUCGUUUCAAAUGGGCCAAGCCUUACCUCAAGGGAGACUUUUGUGCCAAAAUGUGCAGCACACAAAGAAGCGAGUGCAUGAACAACCUGCUCAAGUGUUAUGUAUCCAGGUCGGCACCAAUAAACAUCUUUUUUCAACAGUACACAAAGAUGUUUGCCAACAGAUGUGAAGAGGAGGACUUCGAAAUCGCUCACUCAAAGAAGGAUGGGAAGAUAAUAAGAACAAACUUUCUAAUAGAGCGACACGCAGCUAAAAUUUACACAAGGGGUGUGUUCAAGCUGUUCUUACUUGAAUUGUAUCAGUCUGGAUCAUUCAUCAUGAAGGGAAAUCAGGUGGAUGGGAGAAUCACAUUAGAGCAUGCUGAUGCAGAACAAAGGCAACGUUGGUGCAAAGUGGUUUAUGAUGUUAUUGUUGACAGGGAGAGCGACACUUACAAUUGCGAGUGUGGAAUGUUUGAGCACUCUGGACUGCUUUGUCGACACUUACUAAAGGUUAUGGUACACAUUGGCGUCCGCCAAAUCCCGAGUAGGUACAUUAUGAAGAGAUGGACCAACGAUGCUAGAGAAAAUAUGCCAGAUCACCUAAAGUGUUAUCAGAAAGAUGCAAGCAUGCAGGUGUCGAAGACUUUCAUGCACAACAUAAUCUACGUCAAGGCAUUGGAGAUAGUAAAACUAGCUGACAGCAGCAUGGUUACUUUCCAGCAUGCUAUAAUGGGAUUGGAUAAAGUAAAGAAUGAUCUUGAAAAGAUUAUAGCAGCAGGAAUUACACAGGGACAAGCUUCUAAUGACAAAGGCAAUGCAGCUCAAGCAAGCAAAGAGCCAACACAGGAAACAACUCAAGGAUUCAAAGAAAAUGAGACCACACCUACAGAGAACCAACAAACAGAUGAAGGAUUGAAGAACGAAAUGGGCAACAUGUUCUCACAAGGUUCUCAAAGUUGUUUAGCACCUGAAAAGAGAUCAGCCAAAGGUAGACCCAAAACGAAGCGUUUCAAGUCAGCGGCUGAAGGCGCAUCAAACAAGAGCACAAGGAAGUGUGCGAUAUGUGGAUCUAGGGACCAUUUCACAAAGUCUUGCCCUUGCCACCUUGUUGGUGCAGCAUCAUCAAGCGAUUCUGAGGGAGAUGCCGACUUAACAGUUGAAGACCAUGUCAACACAGAUGUUGUUGAAGAAAAAGAUGUCAAUCAGCAAAGCCAGAUGGGAGAACAAAGUAGGAGAACUGAAAACAUCAAUACUCCCAAGUCUGUCCAGAGGAGGUGCAAGAAAUGCGGUCUGCCUGGUCAUUACACUCCUAAGUGCCCAAAAUUCUAUGGCCCCAAAAAGCCUCCAAAAGAGGUGACAUGCAAAAAAUGUUGCCUGGGAGGUCACUACUCGUCGACUUGUGGAGGGGAGUCUUCAUACAAAAGAAAGCGUUAA
rnacentral:rRNA from 1 species